GAUCGUUUCCCCUCUUGGAUUGAGCCAGGAGGAUCUAUUACUCUGUCAAAGUUCCUCUCCCUCUGUGGGGGAACCUUGUCUGCUUUCAGUGUAGGGACUGCACGGUGGGACACUUUAAAAGGUUAGCAGGCAUUGUGACCUAGUUGAACAGACCUACCCAUCUGAGGAGGGGAAACCCACAAUGCAAUAGUGUAAAGGAAGCCCCAACAUCUGCAAAACAACUUUGUAUUUAGAUUGAGGGUCCACAGGUUCCUCCAUCCCUUAACAGGAGUUGGUGUUGUCAGCUAUUUAAAGGUGACCCCAGCCACAGUUACCACAUAUGCAUCAGAGAGGGUGUUUUCACUGUUGGCCUAAUAUAUUAUUGGUCAACUGAACUAAACACAAACACCUUAACAUAAGCAAAAACAGACUACCUGCUCACCUGGAGAUGUCGCACUAAACCUUCUAUACAUUUUUGACAAGGAGUAAAUUAUAUUAAAUCAAGUCUUGGCAGUGCAAAAACAUUGCCAGACCAAAACAAAAGUUCUUUACAAUCUCUAGAAGAUGUUGGUCGGGAGGGAUAAUGGUCUGUUUUAAAAAUGCUUUCUAGCAAGUGAAGACCAAGCUGCCCAUCACACUAAAGGUUUGUAAACAUUUCAUUGAGUCACCACAUUACCACAAAUAAUUCCCAGCUUGUGCAAAAUGAAGAUGAACAUUAGGCAAAAAAGACCAUAAGCUUGUGUGGAUAUAUCAUAUAAAACAUAAUGUAUUCAUUUCAGGGGAGACUUAUUGAUUUGUGUCUCAUGUUUCUUUUCAUUCACAACUGAUCGUCGCACUGCUUCCCUCCAGUGGCCACAAGGUACAACAGGUACUUUUACAUUACAGCAUGUAGCUCCAAACCACAAAAGUAUUUCCUUCUGAAAAUGCACUUGCACUUCACUAAAGCUCUAAACAUGGCACAUGAACACAAAUAUAAACUAUAUACAAUAAAAUCUGGAAUAUAGUACAAUACGAAUGCUCUAAUAACGGUGAGCAGAGAUCUUGUAUUUUGAUGUGUGGGCAUAAUGUACAGGGUAAUAGUCACAUGACUGCCACAAGGCCUUUCUAUGACACUGAAUAGGAACAGACCACAGCUCUGAUUUAGUACAGCUGGCUGACCAACAAUUGCUGAAUAGGUUUAACAAAAAUAAUCUUUAAAAUUAGAUUAUGUUUCUCAGAAUAAAGAGAAAUUAUGAGCCUCAUGUCAAAAAAUAAAUAAAUCUGCAAGACAGACUGACUCUUUUGACUUUCUUAAUGUUACACCAGCAAAGCCUUGUACCCAGAUGCUAAAUUACUACUAAGCUACAUUUGAAACAUUCAACACUUUUCUAUAACUUAGAGGCUGCACUGUCUGCUGUUCAGCAA